AUGGGCGCAAGCCUGAUCUAGCCAUGCCGCGUGUGUGAUGAAGGCCUUAGGGUCGUAAAGCACUUUCGCCAGGGAUGAUAAUGACAGUACCUGGUAAAGAAACCCCGGCUAACUCCGUGCCAGCAGCCGCGGUAAUACGGAGGGGGUUAGCGUUGUUCGGAAUUACUGGGCGUAAAGCGUACGUAGGCGGAUCAGAAAGUAUGGGGUGAAAUCCCAGGGCUCAACCCUGGAACUGCCUCAUAAACUCCUGGUCUUGAGUNCGAGA
rnacentral:rRNA from 1 species